AGUGAACGCUGGCGGUAGGCCUAACACAUGCAAGUCGAACGGCAGCACAGUAAGAGCUUGCUCUUACGGGUGGCGAGUGGCGGACGGGUGAGGAAUACAUCGGAAUCUACUUUUUCGUGGGGGAUAACGUAGGGAAACUUACGCUAAUACCGCAUACGACCUACGGGUGAAAGCAGGGGAUCUUCGGCCCUUGCGCGAUUGAAUGAGCCGAUGUCGGAUUAGCUAGUUGGCGGGGUAAAGGCCCACCAAGGCGACGAUCCGUAGCUGGUCUGAGAGGAUGAUCAGCCACAUUGGACCUGGGACACGGCCCAGAUUCUUACGGGAGGCAGAAUGGGGAAUUUUGGAAAAAGGGGCGAAAGCCUGAUCCAGCAUACCGCGUGGGUGAAGAAGGCCUUCGGGUUGUAAAGCCCUUUUGUUGGGAAAGAAAAGCAGCAGGUUAAUACCCCGCUGUUCUGACGGUACCCAAAGAAUAAGCACCGGCUAACUUCGUG
rnacentral:rRNA from 1 species